CCCGCACAAGCGGUGGAGCAUUGUGGUUUAAUUCGAUGCAACGCGAAGAACCUUACCUGGGCUUGACAUCCCGAGAAUCCCCUGGAAACAGGGAGUGCCUUUCGGGGAACUCGGAGACAGGUGCUGCAUGGCUGUCGUCAGCUCGUGUCGUGAGAUGUUGGGUUAAGUCCCGCAACGAGCGCAACCCUUGUCUUUAAUUGCCAGCAUUCAGUUGGGCACUUUAAAGAGACUGCCGGUGUUAAGCCGGAGGAAGGUGGGGAUGACGUCAAGUCCUCAUGGCCUUUAUGCCCAGGGCUACACACGUGCCACAAUGGGUGGUACAAAGAGAUGCCAACUCGCGAGAGCGCGCCAAUCUCAGAAAGCCAUCCUCAGUUCGGAUUGGAGUCUGCAACUCGACUCCAUGAAGUUGGAAUCGCUAGUAAUCGCGGAUCAGCACGCCGCGGUGAAUACGUUCCCGGGCCUU
rnacentral:rRNA from 1 species